AGGGAGGCAGCAUGAUUCUCAGCUUUUAGAUAGACCCAUAAAGUUGUCCAAAUUUCAACGAGUAUUGCCUGAUCAGAUUUGAUUGAACGAUCUCGGGGAGCACUUGCUAAUGUACUCAUGAACGCAGGCUUCACUGGGGCUCCAGAUUUCAGCCAUAUUUCAGUACCAAGAACAGCUCCCUCGCAGACUGAACGUAAAAUUGACCUGAAGAUUCACGCCUAUGUGUCUCUUUAAGGUGGGUUAAUGUUGACGUAAGCGAAAUCUAAAAUGCAAAGGUCCACACGAAAGGAAUCUCGGCCAGUAGCGCCGAUUCUCCAUGCAGCCUCUGAUAUGGGGCGGUGGCGAUGUUGACACAGCGGCAAAAUUCAAUCACAACGGGUUCGGAAUCAAGCGGACAACUUAUUUAUCCAAUAAAUCCGCCAUUUAGUAAGAAAAAUAUUUGAGCAGCUGUAUUUGACCUCUGGUCACAUUUACUG